CGGCCUCCGGGCGGCUGCCCUCCAGCGCCUUCCCUCCCCAUCCCACCCGCCUGCCUGCCCCCCUCGGUCCAGCCGCCUGACCCUGACCCUGACCCUGGCGGGGCCGCCCUUCCCUCCUCCCGCUGGCCGAGGAGCCCAAGCUUUCGGCGAACGGCGACCGCGGGCCUCAUCUCCUCGGGACAUGGGAUUGCCCUCUCCACCACUCUGUCUCCAGGACAGAGAAGGCAAACAACUUCUGAGAACAUCUGCGACUUCACUGGCUGACUCUCAAGGCACCGAAUUUAACUGUGACCCAGAUUUGGUCUUGGAGCCGAUCAGAAGGCACUGAGUUGAAGCCAGGUUUACACUCUGAUUCCUCCAAGUCACCACGUGGUUUUAUUCGAGAGGGGUCUGGGUAGCAAUGAGCUAAG